UACGGAGGGUGCGAGCGUUAAUCGGAAUUACUGGGCGUAAAGGGUGUGUAGGUGGUUGAUUAAGUUAUCUGUGAAAUACCUGGGCUUAACCUGGGGGGGUCAGAUAAUACUGAUUGACUAGAGUAUGGGAGAGGGCAGUGGAAUUUCCGGUGUAGUGGUGAAAUGCGUAGAUAUCGGAAGGAACACCAGUGGCGAAGGCGACUGCCUGGCCUGAUACUGACACUGAGGCACGAAAGCAUGGUUAGCAAACAGG
rnacentral:misc_RNA from 1 species